rnacentral:rRNA from 1 species
UACGGAGGGAGCUAGCGUUAUUCGGAAUUACUGGGCGUAAAGCGUGCGUAGACGGUUACAUAAGUCGGGUGUGAAAGCCCCGGGCUCAACCUGGGAAUUGCAUUCGAGACUGCGUAGCUAGGGUGCGGAAGAGGGAAGCGGAAUUUCCGGUGUAGCGGUGAAAUGCGUAGAUAUCGGAAGGAACACCAGUGGCGAAAGCGGCUUCCUGGUCCAGCACCGACGUCAGGCACGAAAGCGUGGGGAG